CUAUGCGCCUUGCCAGCCCCGCUCAGAAACUCAAAGGAAUUGACGGGGGCCCGCACAAGCGGUGGAGCAUGUGGUUUAAUUCGAUGAUACGCGAGGAACCUUACCUGGGCUCAAAUGUAUGUUGACGUAUUCUGAAAGGGAUACUUCUUCGGACAAUAUACAAGGUGCUGCAUGGUUGUCGUCAGCUCGUGCCGUGAGGUGUCGGGUUAAGUCCCAUAACGAGCGCAACCCCUAUCAUUAGUUGCCAGCAGUUCGGCUGGGCACUCUAAAGGGACUGCCGGUGUUAAACCGGAGGAAGGUGGGGAUGACGUCAAGUCCUCAUGGCCCUUACGGCCUGGGCUACACACGUGCUACAAUGGUCGGUACAAAGGGUUGCCAAGCCGCGAGGUGGAGCUAAUCCCAUAAAACCGAUCGUAGUCCGGAUCGCAGUCUGCAACUCGACUGCGUGAAGUCGGAAUCGCUAGUAAUCGUGGAUCAGAAUGUCACGGUGAAUACGUUCCCGGGCCUU
rnacentral:rRNA from 1 species